rnacentral:rRNA from 1 species
UACGAAGGGUGCAAACGUUGCUCGGAAUUACUGGGCGUAAAGCGUGCGCAGGCGGUUGUGCAAGACAGAUGUGAAAUCCCCGGGCUCAACCUGGGAACUGCAUUUGUGACUGCACGGCUGGAGUGCGGCAGAGGGGGAUGGAAUUCCGCGUGUAGCAGUGAAAUGCGUAGAUAUGCGGAGGAACACCGAUGGCGAAGGCAAUCCCCUGGGCCUGCACUGACGCUCAUGCACGAAAGCGUGGGGAGCAAACAGG